CGAACGUUGGCGGCGUGGCUUAGGCAUGCAAGUCGAACGAGAAAGUUCCCUUCGGGGAAUGAUUAGAGUGGCAAAAGGGUGAGUAAUGACUAGUUAAUCUACCCCUGGAUCUGGGAUAACUUUUCGAAAGGGAAGCUAAUACCGGAUGGUCUCGGUUUAUCAUAAGGUUUACCGAGUAAAGGCGGCAUCUUCGGGUGCUGUUGUCGAGGGAGGAGACUAGUUCCUAUUAGUUAGUUGGUGAGGUAACGGCUCACCAAGGCAAUGAUGGGUAGCCGAUCUGAGAGGAUGACCGGUCACACUGGGACUGAGACACUGCCCAGACUCCUACGGGAGGCUGCAGUCGCGAAUAUUCCGCAAUGGACGAAAGUCUGACGGAGCGACGCCGCGUGUGGGAUGAAGGCCUUCGGGUUGUAAACCACUGUCACGGUUUAUGAAUUGGUGAAAGGAAUAAUACCCUUUCAUUUUGACAAAGGACCGAGAGGAAGUCACGGCUAACUAC
rnacentral:rRNA from 1 species